rnacentral:rRNA from 1 species
AGUCGACGGUGAAGCCAGCUUGCUUGGUGGAUCAGUGGCGAACGGGUGAGUAACACGUGAGCAACCUGCCCUGAACUCUGGGAUAAGCGCUGGAAACGGCGUCUAAUACUGGAUAUGAGCUGCGGAGGCAUCUUCGUGGUUGGAAAGAUUUUUCGGUUUGGGAUGGGCUCGCGGCCUAUCAGCUUGUUGGUGAGGUAAUGGCUCACCAAGGCGUCGACGGGUAGCCGGCCUGAGAGGGUGACCGGCCACACUGGGACUGAGACACGGCCCAGACUCCUACGGGAGGCAGCAGUGGGGAAUAUUGCACAAUGGGCGGAAGCCUGAUGCAGCAACGCCGCGUGAGGGAUGACGGCCUUCGGGUUGUAAACCUCUUUUAGCAGGGAAGAAGCGAAAGUGACGGUACCUGCAGAAAAAGCGCCGGCUAACUACGUGCCAGCAGCCGCGGUAAUACGUAGGGCGCAAGCGUUAUCCGGAAUUAUUGGGCGUAAAGAGCUCGUAGGCGGUUUGUCGCGUCUGCUGUGAAAUCUGGGGGCUCAACCCCCAGCCUGCAGUGGGUACGGGCAGACUAGAGUGCGGUAGGGGAGAUUGGAAUUCCUGGUGUAGCGGUGGAAUGCGCAGAUAUCAGGAGGAACACCGAUGGCGAAGGCAGAUCUCUGGGCCGUAACUGACGCUGAGGAGCGAAAGGGUGGGGAGCAAACAGGCUUAGAUACCCUGGUAGUCCACCCCGUAAACGUUGGGAACUAGUUGUGGGGUCCAUUCCACGGAUUCCGUGACGCAGCUAACGCAUUAAGUUCCCCGCCUGGGGAGUACGGCCGCAAGGCUAAAACUCAAAGGAAUUGACGGGGACCCGCACAAGCGGCGGAGCAUGCGGAUUAAUUCGAUGCAACGCGAAGAACCUUACCAAGGCUUGACAUACACGAGAACGCUGCAGAAAUGUAGAACUCUUUGGACACUCGUGAACAGGUGGUGCAUGGUUGUCGUCAGCUCGUGUCGUGAGAUGUUGGGUUAAGUCCCGCAACGAGCGCAACCCUCGUUCUAUGUUGCCAGCACGUAAUGGUGGGAACUCAUGGGAUACUGCCGGGGUCAACUCGGAGGAAGGUGGGGAUGACGUCAAAUCAUCAUGCCCCUUAUGUCUUGGGCUUCACGCAUGCUACAAUGGCCGGUACAAAGGGCUGCAAUACCGCGAGGUGGAGCGAAUCCCAAAAAGCCGGUCCCAGUUCGGAUUGAGGUCUGCAACUCGACCUCAUGAAGUCGGAGUCGCUAGUAAUCGCAGAUCAGCAACGCUGCGGUGAAUACGUUCCCGGGUCUUGUA